rnacentral:rRNA from 1 species
CGGGAUGUUCAUAACCCUUUGUUGUCCGACUCUGUUGCCUCCGGGGCGACCCUGCCUUCGGGCGGGGGCUCCGGGUGGACACUUCAAACUCUUGCGUAACUUUGCAGUCUGAGUAAACUUAAUUAAUAAAUUAAAACUUUUAACAACGGAUCUCUUGGUUCUGGCAUCGAUGAAGAACGCAGCGAAAUGCGAUAAGUAAUGUGAAUUGCAGAAUUCAGUGAAUCAUCGAAUCUUUGAACGCACAUUGCGCCCCCUGGUAUUCCGGGGGGCAUGCCUGUUCGAGCGUCAUUUCACCACUCAAGCCUCGCUUGGUAUUGGGCAACGCGGUCCGCCGCGUGCCUCAAAUCGACCGGCUGGGUCUUCUGUCCCCUAAGCGUUGUGGAAACUAUUCGCUAAAGGGUGUUCGGGAGGCUACGCCGUAAAACAACCCAAUUUCUAAGGUUGACCUCGGAUCAGGUAGGGAUACCCGCUGAACUUAAGCAUAUCAAUAAGCGGAGGA